AUUGCUUCUUGGCCUUUUGGCUAAGAUCAAGUGUAGUAGACUAUUGUUGAAAUUUGAUUCAGAAAACCAGUUUAGGGGUCACCUAGGCCACUACCCUCUAUAGUGGCCACUAACC
rnacentral:snRNA from 1 species